CCUACGGGAGGCAGCAGUGGGGAAUAUUGGGCAAUGGGCGCAAGCCUGAUGCAGCAACGCCGCGUGAAGGAAGAAGGCUUUCGGGUUGUAAACUUCUUUUCUGAGGGACGAAGAAAGUGACGGUACCUCAGGAAUAAGCCACGGCUAACUACGGGCCAGCAGCCGCGGUAAUACGGAGGUGGCAAGCGUUAUCCGGAUUUAUUGGGUGUAAAGGGGGUGGAGGCGGGAAAGCAAGUCAGAUGUGAAAACUCAGGGCUCAACCCUGGGCCUGCAGUUGAAACUGUUUUUCUUGAGUGCUGGAGAGGCAAUCGGAAUGCCGGGUGUAGCGGUGAAAUGCGUAGAUAUACGGAGGAACACCAGUGGCGAAGGCGGAUUGCUGGACAGUAACUGACGCUGAGGCGCGAAAGCGUGGGGAGCAAACAGGAUUAGAUACCCGAGUAGUC
rnacentral:rRNA from 1 species